rnacentral:rRNA from 1 species
GAUAAACGCUAGCGGCAGGCUUAACACAUGCAAGUCGAGGGGCAGCAUAGGCAUAGCAAUAUGUUUGAUGGCGACCGGCAGACGGGUGCGUAACGCGUAUGCAACCUGCCCGUAACAGGGGGAUAAUCUGGAGAAAUUCGGUCUAAUACCCCAUAAUACAAGAGAUGGCAUCAUUUUUUGUUGAAAUUUUUGGAGGUUACGGAUGGGCAUGCGUAGCAUUAGUUAGUUGGUGCGGUAACGGCGUACCAAGGCGACGAUGCUUAGGGGGACUGAGAGGUUUUCCCCCCACACUGGUACUGAGACACGGACCAGACUCCUACGGGAGGCAGCAGUGAGGAAUAUUGGUCAAUGGACGGAAGUCUGAACCAGCCAUGCCGCGUGCAGGACGACGGCUCUACGAGUUGUAAACUGCUUUUAUACCAGGGUAAAGGUAUCUACGUGUAGGUAUUUGAAAGUAUGGUAUGAAUAAGGAUCGGCUAACUCCGUGCCAGCAGCCGCGGUAAUACGGAGGAUCCGAGCGUUAUCCGGAUUUAUUGGGUUUAAAGGGUGCGCAGGCGGUCUGGUAAGUUAGAGGUGAAAUUUCGGCGCUUAACGUUGAAACUGCCUCUGAUACUGUCGGGCUAGAGAUCAGUUGCGGAAGGCGGAAUGUGUGGUGUAGCGGUGAAAUGCUUAGAUAUCACACAGAACACCGAUUGCGAAGGCAGCUUUCCAAGCUGUAUCUGACGCUGAGGCACGAAAGCGUGGGUAGCGAACAGGAUUAGAUACCCUGGUAGUCCACGCUGUAAACGAUGAUUACUCGUUGUCGGCUAAAUAUUGUCGGUGACUAAGCGAAAGCGAUAAGUAAUCCACCUGGGGAGUACGUUCGCAAGAAUGAAACUCAAAGGAAUUGACGGGGGCCCGCACAAGCGGAGGAACAUGUGGUUUAAUUCGAUGAUACGCGAGGAACCUUACCCGGGCUUGAAAGUUAGCGCUGAAUUUGGAAACAGAUUUUCCCUUCGGGGCGCGAAACUAGGUGCUGCAUGGUUGUCGUCAGCUCGUGCCGUGAGGUGUCGGGUUAAGUCCCAUAACGAGCGCAACCCCUACUGUCAGUUGCUAACAGGUGAUGCUGAGGACUCUGACGGGACUGCCGGUGUAAGCCGAGAGGAAGGUGGGGAUGACGUCAAAUCAGCACGGCCCUUACGUCCGGGGCGACACACGUGUUACAAUGGUCGGUACAGAGGGCCGCUACCCAGCGAUGGGAUGCCAAUCUCGAAAGCCGAUCUCAGUUCGGAUCGCAGGCUGAAACUCGCCUGCGUGAAGUUGGAUUCGCUAGUAAUCGCGCAUCAGCCAUGGCGCGGUGAAUACGUUCCCGGGC